UAUUCUUUUGCACGGAAGAUACAACUAGUACCCAAUAACCCUACAUCAUAUCAAAAGAACUUAUUGAAGCAAAUCAUGCCAAACAUGUUUGAGGAAAGUUUACUUGAAUACAACCAUUAUGCAAAGGACACUCACCGACAACACUUCAUAAAAAGAAAAUCUAAAACCCUAAUUUGCAAACACCCAGCUUAUAAAUUCACAUGAAAAUACUGAUCAGAAGCAACAAACGAAAUCGAGCACAAAUGGCGGCAUGGAGGAUUGGAAGAAGAUUGCAGAUAAUUUCCAUCAUUUUUUUCAAGGAAAGUUUUGGUCUUUCUCCACU
rnacentral:lncRNA from 1 species